UGAGGUAUAGCUCAGUAGGUAGAGCUGUCGGCUGUUAACCGAUGUAAUUUAAGGGGGAGUUCGAGCCUCUCUACCUCAGCCA
rnacentral:tRNA from 1 species